rnacentral:rRNA from 1 species
UACGGGGGGUGCGAGCGUUGUCCGGAAUCACUGGGCGUAAAGGGCGCGUAGGUGGUUUGAUAAGGGUGUGGUGAAAGUCCGGGGCUCAACCCCGGAUCUGCCGUGCCGACUGUCAAACUCGAGGACUGUAGAGGCAGACGGAAUUCCGGGUGUAGCGGUGGAAUGCGUAGAGAUCCGGAGGAAGACCGGUGGCGAAGGCGGUCUGCU